UAGUAUAACGGUAGUACGCAUGCAUGGGGUGCAUGUAGCCCGGGUUCAAUUCCCGN
rnacentral:tRNA from 1 species